AAAGUCGUAACAAGGUUUCCGUAGGUGAACCUGCGGAAGGAUCAUUAAUCGACACCAAGGCCGGCCCGAAAGUCCCUUGGGAAAAUAGGGCAGGACCUGGAAACCCCAAUGUGGAAAGUCCCUGUUGCUUUGGCAGCUGUCCGAUCUGGAAUUGUAAGUCUGUCGAAAGCUCAUAUCUCAAACUCUUUGCCAAUUGUCUGAAAAAAGAAUUAUUUGAAUUUUAUAAAACUUUCAACAACGGAUCUCUUGGUUCUC
rnacentral:misc_RNA from 1 species